UACAGAGGGUGCAAGCGUUGUUCGGAAUUAUUGGGCGUAAAGCGCGUGUAGGCGGCUUUGCAAGUCGGGUGUGAAAGCCCUCAGCUCAACUGAGGAAGUGCGCCCGAAACUGCAGAGCUUGAGUGCCGGAGAGGGUCGCGGAAUUCCCGGUGUAGAGGUGAAAUUCGUAGAUAUCGGGAGGAACACCGGUGGCGAAGGCGGCGAUCUGGGUCGAUACUGACGCUGAGGUGCGAAAGCGUGGGGAGCAAACAGG
rnacentral:rRNA from 1 species